rnacentral:rRNA from 1 species
AGAAUGAACGUUGGCGGCGUGGAUUAGGCAUGCGAGUCGUACGAGAACCCGCAAGGGGGAAGUGGCGAACGGGGUAGUAAUGCGUAGGUGACGUGCCCUGUGGUCGGGGAUAGCUUAGGGAACUUAAGGUAAUACUCGAUGAUCCCGGAUGAUUUGAAGAUCGACCGGGCAAAGGUGUGAUUCCAUCACAGGAGCGGCUUGCGUGGUAUUAGCUA